GACGAACGCUGGCGGCGUGCUUAACACAUGCAAGUCGAACGGAAAGGCCCUGCUUUUGUGGGGUGCUCGAGUGGCGAACGGGUGAGUAACACGUGAGUAACCUGCCCUUGACUUUGGGAUAACUUCAGGAAACUGGGGCUAAUACCGGAUAGGAGCUCCUGCUGCAUGGUGGGGGUUGGAAAGUUUCGGCGGUUGGGGAUGUACUAGCGGCUUAUCAGCUUGUUGGUGGGGUAGUGGCUUACCAAGGCUUUGACGGGUAGCCGGCCUGAGAGGGUUACCGGCCACAUUGGGACUGAGAUACGGCCCAGACUCCAACGGGAGGCAGCAGUGGAGAAUAUUGCACAGUAGGCGGGAGCCUGAUGCAGCAACGCCGCGUGCGGGAUGACGGCCUUCGGGUUGUAAACCGCUUUCGCCUGUGACGAAGCGAGAGUGACGGUAAUGGGUAAAGAAGCACCGGCUAACUACGUG
rnacentral:rRNA from 1 species